rnacentral:rRNA from 1 species
AAAUUGAAGAGUUUGAUCAUGGCUCAGAUUGAACGCUGGCGGCAGGCCUAACACAUGCAAGUCGAGCGGUAGCACAGAGAGCUUGCUCUCGGGUGACGAGCGGCGGACGGGUGAGUAAUGUCUGGGAAACUGCCUGAUGGAGGGGGAUAACUACUGGAAACGGUAGCUAAUACCGCAUAAUGUCGCAAGACCAAAGUGGGGGACCUUCGGGCCUCAUGCCAUCAGAUGUGCCCAGAUGGGAUUAGCUAGUAGGUGGGGUAACGGCUCACCUAGGCGACGAUCCCUAGCUGGUCUGAGAGGAUGACCAGCCACACUGGAACUGAGACACGGUCCAGACUCCUACGGGAGGCAGCAGUGGGGAAUAUUGCACAAUGGGCGCAAGCCUGAUGCAGCCAUGCCGCGUGUGUGAAGAAGGCCUUCGGGUUGUAAAGCACUUUCAGCGGGGAGGAAGGCGGUGAGGUUAAUAACCUCAUCGAUUGACGUUACCCGCAGAAGAAGCACCGGCUAACUCCGUGCCAGCAGCCGCGGUAAUACGGAGGGUGCAAGCGUUAAUCGGAAUUACUGGGCGUAAAGCGCACGCAGGCGGUCUGUCAAGUCGGAUGUGAAAUCCCCGGGCUCAACCUGGGAACUGCAUUCGAAACUGGCAGGCUAGAGUCUUGUAGAGGGGGUAGAAUUCCAGGUGUAGCGGUGAAAUGCGUAGAGAUCUGGAGGAAUACCGGUGGCGAAGGCGGCCCCUGGACAAAGACUGACGCUCAGGUGCGAAAGCGUGGGGAGCAAACAGGAUUAGAUACCCUGGUAGUCCACGCCGUAAACGAUGUCGAUUUGGAGGUUGUGCCCUUGAGGCGUGGCUUCCGGAGCUAACGCGUUAAAUCGACCGCCUGGGGAGUACGGCCGCAAGGUUAAAACUCAAAUGAAUUGACGGGGGCCCGCACAAGCGGUGGAGCAUGUGGUUUAAUUCGAUGCAACGCGAAGAACCUUACCUGGUCUUGACAUCCACAGAACUUAGCAGAGAUGCUUUGGUGCCUUCGGGAACUGUGAGACAGGUGCUGCAUGGCUGUCGUCAGCUCGUGUUGUGAAAUGUUGGGUUAAGUCCCGCAACGAGCGCAACCCUUAUCCUUUGUUGCCAGCGGUUAGGCCGGGAACUCAAAGGAGACUGCCAGUGAUAAACUGGAGGAAGGUGGGGAUGACGUCAAGUCAUCAUGGCCCUUACGACCAGGGCUACACACGUGCUACAAUGGCAUAUACAAAGAGAAGCGACCUCGCGAGAGCAAGCGGACCUCAUAAAGUAUGUCGUAGUCCGGAUUGGAGUCUGCAACUCGACUCCAUGAAGUCGGAAUCGCUAGUAAUCGUAGAUCAGAAUGCUACGGUGAAUACGUUCCCGGGCCUUGUACACACCGCCCGUCACACCAUGGGAGUGGGUUGCAAAAGAAGUAGGUAGCUUAACCUUCGGGAGGGCGCUUACCACUUUGUGAUUCAUGACUGGGGUGAAGUCGUAACAAGGUAACCGUAGGGGAACCUGCGGUUGGAUCACCUCCUUA